rnacentral:rRNA from 1 species
GACGAACGCUGGCGGCGUGCUUAACACAUGCAAGUCGAACGGAAAGGCCCUGCUUUUGUGGGGUGCUCGAGUGGCGAACGGGUGAGUAACACGUGAGUAACCUGCCCUUGACUUUGGGAUAACUUCAGGAAACUGGGGCUAAUACCGGAUAGGAGCUCCUGCUGCAUGGUGGGGGUUGGAAAGUUUCGGCGGUUGGGGAUGGACUCGCGGCUUAUCAGCUUGUUGGUGGGGUAGUGGCUUACCAAGGCUUUGACGGGUAGCCGGCCUGAGAGGGUGACCGGCCACAUUGGGACUGAGAUACGGCCCAGACUCCUACGGGAGGCAGCAGUGGGGAAUAUUGCACAAUGGGCGGAAGCCUGAUGCAGCAACGCCGCGUGCGGGAUGACAGCCUUCGGGUUGUAAACCGCUUUCGCCUGUGACGAAGCGUGAGUGACGGUAAUGGGUAAAGAAGCACCGGCUAACUAC